rnacentral:rRNA from 1 species
ACGAACGCUGGCGGCACGCUUAACACAUGCAAGUCGAACGAGAGAAGAGAAGCUUGCUUUUCUGAUCUAGUGGCGGACGGGUGAGUAACACGUGAGCAAUCUGCCUUUCAGAGGGGGAUACCGAUUGGAAACGAUCGUUAAUACCGCAUAACAUAAUUGAACCGCAUGAUUUGAUUAUCAAAGAUUUAUCGCUGAAAGAUGAGCUCGCGUCUGAUUAGCUAGUUGGUAAGGUAACGGCUUACCAAGGCGACGAUCAGUAGCCGGACUGAGAGGUUGAUCGGCCACAUUGGGACUGAGACACGGCCCAGACUCCUACGGGAGGCAGCAGUGGGGAAUAUUGCACAAUGGAGGAAACUCUGAUGCAGCGAUGCCGCGUGAGGGAAGAAGGUUUUAGGAUUGUAAACCUCUGUCUUCAGGGACGAAAAAUGACGGUACCUGAGGAGGAAGCUCCGGCUAACUACGUGCCAGCAGCCGCGGUAAUACGUAGGGAGCGAGCGUUGUCCGGAAUUACUGGGUGUAAAGGGAGCGUAGGCGGGAUCGCAAGUCAGAUGUGAAAACUAUGGGCUUAACCCAUAAACUGCAGUUGAAACUGUGGUUCUUGAGUGAAGUAGAGGUAAGCGGAAUUCCUAGUGUAGCGGUGAAAUGCGUAGAUAUUAGGAGGAACAUCAGUGGCGAAGGCGGCUUACUGGGCUUUAACUGACGCUGAGGCUCGAAAGCGUGGGGAGCAAACAGGAUUAGAUACCCUGGUAGUCCACGCCGUAAACGAUGAUUACUAGGUGUGGGGGGACUGACCCCUUCCGUGCCGCAGCAAACGCAAUAAGUAAUCCACCUGGGGAGUACGACCGCAAGGUUGAAACUCAAAGGAAUUGACGGGGGCCCGCACAAGCAGUGGAGUAUGUGGAUUAAUUCGAAGCAACGCGAAGAACCUUACCAGGUCUUGACAUCGUAUGCAUAGCUCAGAGAUGAGUGAAAUCUCUUCGGAGACAUAUAGACAGGUGGUGCAUGGUUGUCGUCAGCUCGUGUCGUGAGAUGUUGGGUUAAGUCCCGCAACGAGCGCAACCCUUACUGUUAGUUGCUACGCAAGAGCACUCUAGCAGGACUGCCGUUGACAAAACGGAGGAAGGUGGGGAUGACGUCAAAUCAUCAUGCCCCUUAUGACCUGGGCCUCACACGUACUACAAUGGCUGUCAACAGAGGGAAGCAAAGCCGCGAGGUGGAGCAAACCCCUAAAAGCAGUCUUAGUUCGGAUUGUAGGCUGCAACCCGCCUACAUGAAGUCGGAAUUGCUAGUAAUCGCAGAUCAGCAUGCUGCGGUGAAUACGUUCCCGGGCCUUGUACACACCGCCCGUCACGCCAUGGGAGUCGGUAACACCCGAAGCCUGUAGUCUAACCGCAAGGAGGACGCAGUCGAAGGUGGGAUUGAUGACUGGGGUG